AGCGAACGCUGGCGGCAGGCCUAACACAUGCAAGUCGAACGGAUCCGUUCGGGAUUAGUGGCGGACGGGUGAGUAACACGUGGGAACGUGCCCUUUGGUUCGGAACAACUCAGGGAAACUUGAGCUAAUACCGGAUGUGCCCUAGGGGAAAGAUUUAUCGCCAUUGGAGCGGCCCGNGUCUAGAUUAGCUAGUUGGUGAGGUAAAGGCUCACCAAGGCGACGAUCAGUAGCUGGUCUGAGAGGAUGGCCAGCCACAUUGGGACUGAGAGACGACCCAGACUCCUACGGGA
rnacentral:rRNA from 1 species